GACGAACGCUGGCGGCGUGCUUAACACAUGCAAGCCGAACGGAAAGGCCGUGCGUGUGUGGGGUGCUCGAGUGGCGAACGGGUGAGUAACACGUGAGUAACCUGCCCUUGACUCUGGGAUAACUUCAGGAAACUGGGGCUAAUACCGGAUAGGGGCUCCUGCUGCUUGGUGGGGGUUGGAAAGUAUCGGCGGUAGAGGAUGGACUCGCGGCUUCUCAGCUUGUUGGUGGGGAAGUGGCUUACCAAGGCUUUGACGGGUAGCCGGCCUGUGAGGGUGACCGGCCACAUUGGGACUGGGAUCCGGCCCAGACUCCUACGGGAGGCAGCAGUGGGGAAUAUUGCACAAUGGGCGGAAGCCUGAUGCAGCAACGCCGCGUGAGUGAAGAAGGUUUUCGGAUCGUAAAACUCUGUUGGUAGAGAAGAACGUUGGUGAGAGUGGAAAGCUCAUCAAGUGACGGUAACUACCCAGAAAGAGACGGCUAACUACGUG
rnacentral:rRNA from 1 species